CUCCCUGACUAAAGAAGCAAAAAGGUGAGAGAAGGGUAGAAAAGAAGAGAAAGGUGAGCAUACACUGGUACAGAGUAGGCAUGCUCUCGGUUCAUGCUUGAAAAAGAUUACGAAGAGAGAGAGAAAGUGGACCCUGGUGAAGCAGCUGUUGCAUUGGGAGUUUAUUUUAUAGUACUACUGCUCAACAUACUUUAACUAGGUGAAGAAGAUGAGGCGAUGAGGCUAUACCUUACGGAUGCUUCCAUUGCUCAUGAGCACCAGGAUAAAGCUAGCCUGCUGGUUAGAUCACCGUCGCCCGAGAGGAACACGUGCUCCUCCCCUGUUUGCCCAGAGCGACGGCUCUUACUGUUUACCAGCAGUGAGCGAGGUGAUUCUACCCCCUCACCGUUCCACAUACGCAUCCACCUUCUCGGCCUCAUCCCCUUCUUCCACUUCACUCUCCUACUUCACUCCUCUCGCUUCCUCUCAAACGUGUACCUAGAUCUGCGCUGCUCCUCAAAUCGCCGGCGAUUCGAGAUGGAGAAAACUGCGUCUAGCUGCGAUUGAUCUUCACGGCAGUUUUCCCCCUCGAUCCGCCCUCUGUGACUGCUGUAGGCACGCUGAAUCAUUCCCUCACGUUCGGUUCUUCUCAAAAGGUUUCGCCAGAUCAUCUUGGAUACUGUGUUUGAGAAAGUUGGCCUUCCAUCAGCUGCCUACUCUGCACCGAGCUCCUCUUCCAGUUCAGGCAACACCAUGGCUGAUGGAUCCUCCGCGAUGGCAACCUCGUCCGUGAACGUCCCGAUAGAUGAUGGGCUACUGAUCAAGAGCCUUCCUCCGCUGUCUCCAAUCCGCGUCACCAUCAGCAAGCAAUUCAUUCUUGAACGAGCAAUUGAAACAAUUGGUGGCACACUCCAUCCAUUCACUUUUACCGGUACAAGCAGCGAUGAUGUCGACGUCUCUCUCUCCAUUGACCUACCUCCCCACAGCAAAAGCAUGUCAAGCACAAGAAAGGAAUUCCAUGCCCCACACAUCGAAUCUACCUGUGUUGCUGCCCUCGUGUACCUACAGAAAACAGGUAUAGUCACAAUCAAUGAUGCAAACUUUGCAGAGCUGAAAAUAUGUAAAACUUCAGGCUGAGGAGUUCUGGUCCUCGGCUCUCUAUGAUAAGGCCAACGCCCUGGGCAACCAGCUCUCUUUACUGACUGCCGCCAAGCAGAAACCCCAGCCUGAGAAUAAACAAGGAGCUACUUUAUUGCCUCCUAACCAUCAUAAUACUCCACAGACCAGCCAGAAAGUGCUUUCCGAGCAUGCCACUGAUAGAGAAACCACAUCAACCCCUGUCACAGAAACAAACAAUAGCAUCCACCAUGUUCCUUCUAAAGACGACAAAAAGAGGAGGACCACCCGCAAGGUGUUGUUCCCUGGAAAAUAAGGUUCGUGCGAGGUAGUCCCUAUGAAGUACAUCGACAAGGCGGAUGGAUUACGGCGCCUAUUAAUAUGCUUAGUGAUAAUGGCUCCUUAGUUGACUCUUUUUAUUAUGUUCCUGCUCUUAUUACCUUCUCUUAUGCGUUCUCACUUUUGGUAUUGAACCUGAUGUCAAAUGGCUAUCUUUUGUGGUCAUGUAAACGCACCAAGUUUGAUUCUGCCUUAUAAACCAAUGUUUAUCUUGUGCUC